ensembl:lncRNA
AAACCUCUCUUUGAUACUGCGGUUAAUGGAUGAAGGUUAGAAAAGUUUAAUAUUCACACCUGCUCCUGUGGUAUUCAUGUCAGACUCUGAUGGUUGUUAUGAAAACAACAGUCAACUAUUGUGCUCACUGAGAGGGAUCUGUCAGACAUAAGUCAAAUAGUACCAUCUGAAAUGGUUUUAUUGAAUACUAACAUUUAUCAAGCAUGCAGUGAUUUCACUGAACAACUGCAUUCUGUAAUAGACAUUGCAUUUUUAUGCAAUAAAAACACAUAUUUUCAAUUCAUAAAUUGAAUACUUACUGUAGUAUGUACCUCAUUGGUGCAAUUACUAUCAAGACCAGUAGGAGGCACCUUUCAACCUGAUCUUUGUAAAGACAAAUUUAUCGAAGAACUGGGUCAGUCUUUAUGUUUCUCAGACAGCACUGACAAUUCAUUUGUCAUAGGUGUCACGAGAGCUCCAGCACUGAAGCAUCAGCAUGACAUUUACAGUGUGUUUGAUUUAUUUCACAGCACUGCUAUCCUUGGUCUCAGGGGAAUCAUUAAGUGACAAAGUUCAUCAAACAACAAAAGACAAGCUGGUUAAAGCACAAGAACAUGUUACACUCACCUGCUCUCACGAAAUACCAAGCUAUUACAUGAUACUAUGGUAUGAGCAAGUGAUAGGGGAUGCUGCUCUAAAUCUAAUUGGAUACGUGCGUUACACAAAUCCAGCCACAGAAAGUCCAUACACAGAUAAGUUCAAUAUUACAGGAGAUGGUGCAAAAUUCUCUGCUCUUGAUUUUAAGCCGAAUGCAUCUGGGAGAUCUGUUAUGUAUUACUGUGCUGCCAGUGAAGCACAGUGUUAGAGAUCAUUUCAUCUGCCUACAAAACCUCUGUUACCACAAACCAUAACUGUAGUAGGAACUUUUAUUAAACAAUUUUACACAAGCUACAUGCCAUGGUGUCAUUUUUUAUUUAUUUAUUUUUUUUGACAAAUGUCAGUGUUCUUCUCUCUCUCUCGCUCUUUUUUUUAUUUUUAUUUGCAGGUCACAUUAAAACAACAUUGGGAACCUUUUCAAAAGCCUUCAGCAUUUAUUUCAGCAUAAAAUGUGUUAUCAUACGCAAUGCUACAAAAUUAAAAAUCCAUCAGAAAAAAAGAGUAUUUUGGAUAUGUUAAAUACUAAUUAUGUAAUGUGUAUUAAGCAGCCUGGUCUUGUUUAUACGUAGGUAUUAAUACGUAACAUUUACAAGCACAAACCGUAAUUUUGUGUUUUUAUUUUAUUGAUGCUAAAAUGUACAAUUUAAACAUAUUUCAAUGUUUAAAAUGUAGAAAACACUACGUAUUUUUAGCCAAAAAAUUUAAAAUAUUUACGUAUCUUUUAUAUCAUAAAGAUAUUCUUAUGAAUGCAUGUUUUUAUCAUUUUAUCAAUACAGCGAUUUAGAUUUGUAGACCCCUUAAAGAUUUAGUUCAACCAAAAAUGAAAAUUAGCCCAUAAAUUACUCACCCUCAAGUCAUCCUAGGUGUGUGACUUUCUUCUUUUAGACGAAUCCAGUCGGAGUUAUAUUAAAAAUUGUCUUUGAUCUUUCAAGCUGUUUAAUGGCACUCUGCGGGUGUUGCAGUUCAUCAGUCCAAAAGAAGCUAAAUAAAAAGCACCCAUCCAUAAUAAAAAAGUCUCUCACAUGGCUGCGGGGGAUGAACAAAGGCCUCCUGUAGCGAAUCGAUGCGUUUUUGUAAGAAAAAUAUCCAUAUUCAAAACGUAAUAAUAACUUUAUUGUAGCUUGCACCAACAGUUGUACACGGAAGCAGCUCCUGGUGGAUGACGUAUGAGGUUCAGUGUUGUGCAUGUGCUGGUGAGUCUCAUGAAAACCAAUGUUUGUUAACAGGAGCAAAGGAAGCAAAAUUUCCUUACUUUAGCAAAGGAAAACCAGUCCCCACUUGGCUUAUAUCGAAAUCAAAACAUUCUUCUUUACAAAUCCUCGUUUUGUACUUCUAAUUUGUGACCAUUGUUUUGUUUUGAUCUCUCCCCUGCGCUUCCGUGUUCGUCACUUCUGAGGGGCGCAUGCGCAAAGCCGACCUCCAUAUGUCAUCCGCCCAGAGCUGCUUCUGUGUACAACAGUGAGCGCAAACUAGAUUAAAUUGAUAAUUACAUUUUAAAUAUGGUUAUUUUUCUUACAAAAACGCAUCAAAUUACUACAGGAGGACUUUGUUCACCCCCUGGAGCUGUGUGACAUUUUUUAUUAAGGAUAGGCACUUUUUAUGUAACUUGUUUUGGACUGAUGCACUGCAACACCCGCAGAGUGCCAUUAAACAGCUUGAAAGAUCAAAGGCAAUUUUUGAUAUAACUCCGACUGGAUUCAUCUGAAAGAAGAAAGUCAUAUACACUUAGGAUAACUUGAGGGUGAGUAAUUUAUGGGCUAAUUUUAGGUGAACUAAACCUUUAACCUACCCCAAAACCUAAACCCACCCAUUUUAUAGUGAAUAUGCAUUUUUAUCAUUUUAACAAUAAGCGAUUUUGAUUUUAGACCCCUUAACCUACCUCCAAACCUUAGCCUACCCAUUUUAUAGUGAAUAUAAAAGGAUAAAAAUGGCAAACAAAGUAAACAUUACAUGAAGGUUAAACGUUAAAUGUUAUAUAUUUUAAGGGUUUAAAGUGUAUUCUUGUUUAACAUUAUGUAGGCCCAUUCUUGGAAACGAGCUGGCAGCAGAAAUCACACAGAACAGAACUAAAUUUUAUCACUUCAUAUUAAGCAAACGAGUAAACAAUUUAAUAAUGCAAUUAAAAACAAGGUUGUUGAUAUGACAACUAAAAAAAAACAAUAAUAAUAAAAUGAAUGCUGUGAUUUUAAUAUUCAUAAGGAUUCAUUUUUAGUUGUCGUCAAUACGUCAGUUUUGUACGUUUAAAUACUGAAAAUACGUCAGUAUUGUAAGCUUCAGUGCCUGCAAAAACUUAAGUACAUGUACGUUUUAUAGUAAUACGUAAUACAUACAAAUUAUCAUGAGAUCACGACUCAU